rnacentral:rRNA from 2 species
CUAUAAUGCAAGUCGAGCGGACAGAUGGGAGCUUGCUCCCUGAUGUUAGCGGCGGACGGGUGAGUAACACGUGGGUAACCUGCCUGUAAGACUGGGAUAACUCCGGGAAACCGGGGCUAAUACCGGAUGGUUGUUUGAACCGCAUGGUUCAGACAUAAAAGGUGGCUUCGGCUACCACUUACAGAUGGACCCGCGGCGCAUUAGCUAGUUGGUGAGGUAACGGCUCACCAAGGCGACGAUGCGUAGCCGACCUGAGAGGGUGAUCGGCCACACUGGGACUGAGACACGGCCCAGACUCCUACGGGAGGCAGCAGUAGGGAAUCUUCCGCAAUGGACGAAAGUCUGACGGAGCAACGCCGCGUGAGUGAUGAAGGUUUUCGGAUCGUAAAGCUCUGUUGUUAGGGAAGAACAAGUGCCGUUCAAAUAGGGCGGCACCUUGACGGUACCUAACCAGAAAGCCACGGCUAACUACGUGCCAGCAGCCGCGGUAAUACGUAGGUGGCAAGCGUUGUCCGGAAUUAUUGGGCGUAAAGGGCUCGCAGGCGGUUUCUUAAGUCUGAUGUGAAAGCCCCCGGCUCAACCGGGGAGGGUCAUUGGAAACUGGGGAACUUGAGUGCAGAAGAGGAGAGUGGAAUUCCACGUGUAGCGGUGAAAUGCGUAGAGAUGUGGAGGAACACCAGUGGCGAAGGCGACUCUCUGGUCUGUAACUGACGCUGAGGAGCGAAAGCGUGGGGAGCGAACAGGAUUAGAUACCCUGGUAGUCCACGCCGUAACGAUGAGUGCUAAGUGUUAGGGGGUUUCCGCCCCUUAGUGCUGCAGCUAACGCAUUAAGCACUCCGCCUGGGGAGUACGGUCGCAAGACUGAAACUCAAAGGAAUUGACGGGGGCCCGCACAAGCGGUGGAGCAUGUGGUUUAAUUCGAAGCAACGCGAAGAACCUUACCAGGUCUUGACAUCCUCUGACAAUCCUAGAGAUAGGACGUCCCCUUCGGGGGCAGAGUGACAGUGGUGCAUGGUUGUCGUCAGCUCGUGUCGUGAGAUGUUGGGUUAAGUCCCGCAACGAGCCGCAACCC